GACGAACGCUGGCGGCGUGCUUAACACAUGCAAGUCGAACGGAAAGGCCCUGCUUUUGUGGGGUGCUCGAGUGGCGAACGGGUGAGUAACACGUGAGUAACCUGCCCUUGACUUUGGGAUAACUUCAGGAAACUGGGGCUAAUACCGGAUAGGAGCUCCCGCUGCAUGGUGGGGGUUGGAAAGUUUCGGCGGUUGGGGAUGGACUCGCGGCUUAUCAGCUUGUUGGUGGGGUAGUGGCUUACCAAGGCUUUGACGGGUAGCCGGCCUGAGAGGGUGACCGGCCACAUUGGGACUGAGAUACGGCCCAGACUCCUACGGGAGGCAGCAGUGGGGAAUAUUGCACAAUGGGCGGAAGCCUGAUGCAGCAACGCCGCGUGCGGGAUGACGGCCUUCGGGUUGUAACCCGCUUUCGCCUGUGACGAAGCGUGAGUGACGGUAAUGGGUAAAGAAGCACCGGCUAACUACGUG
rnacentral:rRNA from 1 species